UACGUAGGGUGCGAGCGUUGUCCGGAAUUAUUGGGCGUAAAGAGCUCGUAGGCGGUUUUGUCGCGUCUGCCGUGAAAGUCCGGGGCUCAACUCCGGAUCUGCGGUGGGUACGGGCAGACUAGAGUGAUGUAGGGGGAGACUGGAAUUCCUGGUGUAGCGGUGAAAUGCGCAGAUAUCAGGAGGAACACCGAUGGCGAAGGCAGGUCUCUGGGCAUUAACUACGUGAGGAGCGAAAAGCAUGGGGGAGCAACGG
rnacentral:rRNA from 1 species